AGUGAACGCUGGCGGUAGGCCUAACACAUGCAAGUCGAACGGCAGCACAGUAAGAGCUUGCUCUUACGGGUGGCGAGUGGCGGACGGGUGAGGAAUACAUCGGAAUCUACUUUUUCGUGGGGGAUAACGUAGGGAAACUUACGCUAAUACCGCAUACGACCUACGGGUGAAAGCAGGGGAUCUUCGGACCUUGCGCGAUUGAAUGAGCCGAUGUCGGAUUAGCUAGUUGGCGGGGUAAAGGCCCACCAAGGCGACGAUCCGUAGCUGGUCUGAGAGGAUGAUCAGCCACACUGGAACUGAGACACGGUCCAGACUCCUACGGGAGGCAGCAGUGGGGAAUAUUGGACAAUGGGCGCAAGACUGAUCCAGCCAUACCGCGUGGGUGAAGAAGGACUUCGGGUUGUAAAGCCCUUUUGUUGGGAAAGAAAAGCAGCAGGUUAAUACCCCGCUGUUCUGACGGUACCCAAAGAAUAAGCACCGGCUAACUUCGUG
rnacentral:rRNA from 1 species